CCCUUAGAUGUUCUGGGCCGCACGCGCGCUACACUGAUGCAUUCAACGAGUCUAAAACCUGCUCUGAUAGGGGUGGGUAAUCUUUUGAAUGUGCAUCGUGAUUGGGAUAGAUGAUUGCAAUUUUUCAUCUUCAACGAGGAAUGCCUAGUAAACGCAAGUCAUCAGCUUGCAUUGAUUACGUCCCUGCCCUUUGUACACACCGCCCGUCGCUCCUACCGAUUGAAUGAUCCGAUGAAUAUCGUAGACUGAGAGUAUAAGCAGGUUCGCCUGUCUUUGCUUCUCGGGAAGUGAAGUAAAUCUUAUCAUUUAGAGGAAGGAGAAGUCGUAACA
rnacentral:rRNA from 1 species